CCUACGGGUGGCAGCAGUGGGGAAUAUUGCACAAUGGAGGGAACUCUGAAGCAGCGACGCCGCGUGAGUGAAGAAGUAAUUCGUUAUGUAAAGCUCCAUCAGCAGGGAAGACAGUGACGGUACCUGAAAAAGAAGCUCCGGCUAAAUACGUGCCAGCAGCCGCGGUAAUCCGUAUGGCGCAUGCGUUAUCAGGAUUUACUGGGUGUAAAGGGAGAGUAGGUGGGAGAGCAAGUCAGAAGUGAAAACCCAAGGCUCAACUAUGGGACUGCUUUAGAAACUGCACAGCGAGAGUGCAGGAGAGGCAAGUGGAAUUCUUGGUGUAGCGGUGAAAUGCGUAGAUAUUAGGAGGAACACCAGUGGCGAAGG
rnacentral:rRNA from 1 species